UUUAAGGAUGCGCGUAUUUACAGCUGGCUGUCAGCUGUUAUACGUUUAAUAUCGUAUUUAAACCUCAAAAGUAGCUACACCCCCUCUUGAAUCCCGACCGACUUUAUUAGCUCCAAAUACUGGAGCUUUACUACGUGGAUUCUCUGGGAUGAUACUUUUUUUACGGGUAUCAAGCCUUUACUGCAGCGUUGAGUUACAAGAUGAAUUCUUGUUUUUAAGAGAAACGCGUCUGAGAGUUCGGAUUGAGAAAACGAAGAAGGGAGCACCCACAUAACCUUAAUCCAGAUGGAUCUGUGCGCAUUUUACAUUUAUAUUAGAACGAUGUGAAAAAUAAUAUGCCCUUUUUUUGGAUGCCGUUGGGAACGAAGCUGUUUAUAUCUAAAUAAACAAACUGUGAAGUUGUGCGCUCAGCUUGAGAGAGUUUCUUAUAGUGACUUCGGUGCUUCUUACUGGAAAAAAGGUCCUGAAUUGCCAACACCGGCAAAGUCAAGUCACCCCCCAAAGCACACAAAUCACCAGUGAGCCCACUGAAGACUUCCCCCUGCCUUCAAAUUGAU